rnacentral:rRNA from 1 species
AGUGAACGCUGGCGGUAGGCCUAACACAUGCAAGUCGAACGGCAGCACAGUAAGAGCUUGCUCUUACGGGUGGCGAGUGGCGGACGGGUGAGGAAUACAUCGGAAUCUACUUUUUCGUGGGGGAUAACGUAGGGAAACUUACGCUAAUACCGCAUACGACCUACGGGUGAAAGCAGGGGAUCUUCGGACCUUGCGCGAUUGAAUGAGCCGAUGUCGGAUUAGCUAGUUGGCGGGGUAAAGGCCCACCAAGGCGACGAUCCGUAGCUGGUCUGAGAGGAUGAUCAGCCACACUGGAACUGAGACACGGUCCAGACUCCUACGGGAGGCAGCGGUGGGGAAUAUAGGAAAAUGGGCGCAAGCCUGAUCCAGCCAUACCGCGUGGGUGAAGAAGGCCUUCGGGUUGUAAAGCCCUUUUGUUGGGAAAGAAAAGCAGCAGGUUAAUACCCCGCUGUUCGGACGGUACCCAAAGAAUAAGCACCGGCUAACUUCGU